rnacentral:pre_miRNA from 1 species
CAGAAAGUUAUGGGGUCAAUAUGUGCACGAUGCAUUCAUACUGGCCCUUCAAGUUUCUC